AUUGAACGCUGGCGGCAGGCCUAACACAUGCAAGUCGAGCGGAGCGGCGGACGGGUGAGUAAUGCCUAGGAAUCUGCCUGGUAGUGGGGGAUAACGUACGGAAACGGGCGCUAAUACCGCAUACUAGCAGAUGAGCCUAGGUCGGAUUAGCUAGUUGGUGGGGUAACGGCCUACCAAGGCGACGAUCCGUAACUGGUCUGAGAGGAUGAUCAGUCACAUGGGAACUGAGACACGGUCCAGACGCCUACGGGAGGCAGCAGUGGGGAAUAUUGGGCAAGGGGCGAAAGCCUGAUACAGCCAGGCCGCGUGUGUGAAGAAGGUCUUCGGAUUGUAAAGCACUUUAAGUUGGGAGGCGUUACCAACAGAAUAAGCACCGGCUAACUUCGUGCCAGCAGCCGCGGUAAUUC
rnacentral:rRNA from 1 species